rnacentral:rRNA from 1 species
AACAAACGCUGGCGGCGUGCCUAACACAUGCAAGUCGUACGAGAAAAUUUGCUUCGGCAAAUGAGUAGAGUGGCGCACGGGUGAGUAACGCGUGGAUAAUCUACCCUUCAGUUGGGAAUAACCCAUCGAAAGGUGGGCUAAUACCGAAUAACACUGCCCUUACCACGGUUGGGCAGUCAAAGAUAGCCUCUGCUUGCAAGCUUUCGCUGAAGGAUGAGUCCGCGUACCAUUAGCUAGUUGGCAGGGUAAUGGCCUACCAAGGCAACUAUGGUUAGCUGGUCUGAGAGGAUGAUCAGCCACACUGGAACUGAGACACGGUCCAGACACCUACGGGUGGCAG